ensembl:lncRNA
AGAGACUUGAGAGUUAUAUGUCUGCUUCCUUCUCAACUGGAAGCUAUGAAAGUCAGCAAGGUCGGAAAUCAGAACGCAGAAGAGCUUCCUCUAGUUUUUGGGUUUUCAGAGCAGGGCUGAAAGAUGGGCCAGCAGACGCAGAUGAUCAUUCAGUGAAAUGUUGGACUCCCAGUGUUGCUGUGGAGAGCUCUGUGGACGCCCAGUAUGUCACGAAGAGGAACAAGAAGACUGAGAUGAUGCAAUGUGAGAUUCUCUUCUGGAUAUCCAAAGGUCAAACUAUAAAAAAUGAGGUGUUCGCUGAACUUGAAAAAUGAAGGCAACAGUUGGCAAGACUUUGUGGAGUUGAAUUCAUCUUAUUUAAGUACAUUUCUUGACAAAAGGUGAACUUGAAAGUUGCAUUACCUUAUGGGAGUUUUAUGCAAAUGUCUCUUUUUAUUUAUAUGGUUGUUGAAUAUUAUGAACCUCUCACUGAACACACACACUACAGUUCAAAUGUUUAGGGUCAGCAGAAGAUUGUUAUAAAGUAGUCUCUUAGCUGCAUUUAUUUGAUAAAAUACUCUUACAAUUUAUAAUAAAUGCUUUCUAUUUGAAUAUAUUAAAAAAAAAAAAAAAAUUCCUAUGAUGGCAAAGCUGAAUUUUCAGCAUCAUUACUCUAGUCUUCAGUGUCACAUGAUCCUUUUCUGGUCAAGAAACAUAUUAUCAUUGUUGAAAGUAGUUGUGCUGCUUAAUAUUUUUGUGGAAACUGAAAUAUGAUUCAUUUUUUAGGACUCUUUGAUUAAUAAAGUUAGAAAGAACAAUAUAUUUUCUAACAUUAUAAAUGUCACUUUUGACCAAUUUAAUGCAUCCUUGUUGAAUAAAAUAAUGAAUUUCUUUCAAAAGAAAAAUCUUACUGGCCCGAACCUUUGAUCGAUACUGGAUAAGAAUGCCACAACAGACAUUUGUGUGUUUUUUUUUUUUUUUUUUUUAACUAAAACAUGCAAUCAUUGACUGAAUUCAAACCAAGUCCUGUCGGUUCGAUUUAAACACAUCACAAUAGAAAAGCUGUGUUGAGAUGCAUUAAUGUUAAGUAAUGGAAGUUAAAACAGUGUUUGAGUUUUUUAAUAUAAUUUAUUUGGUCUAAGAAUCUUUUUUCAGUCACUGCUGUUCGUAAAUCUCAAGGUUUAUUUAUUUAUUCAGUUAUUUAUUUAGUCUUAUUCUGUAGAACAUAUACAUUUUGAUUGCGAGCAUGUGUUGCAGAUUUCCAGAUUUAUGUGACAUCAUUAUCUCCGAUUCUCUAAUCUAAUUCACCACAGCAUCACAGUUAAACAAACUGCAAGUCUGAAAAUGUGUGUUGUUUGGUCAGAAAUACAAAACAGUCUCCGGAACGGUAUAUAGAUUCCCGGAAAUGUUCCAGUGAAGUCCACAUGAUUAAGUGGUUUUAAAUGUUGCGUGUUGGAAUCAUGGUGACUUUUUCCACAUUAUCAAGAUAGUUUUGUACAAAAACACUGACUUUAGACCUCACCCAACCCUUACAACCUUAGAAGUUUUCAACAUUGUUGCUUUAUAAUUUCAAUGGCAAUUGAUAUUGCAUGGAAUAUUCUGUGGAUUUUACUUCAUCUAAAUGGGAGAUUUUAAAGUAAUUGGAUUUACGAGGGAAGUAAAUAUACAAGCUGAUGAUCAUUAUAGGUCAAUGGCACCAAACCGACCCAAAGGGGAACAUAGCACAAUAUUUAUAACACAUAUUAAUGCAUCUAAAAGAG